CUUCAGUGAUGAUACGAUGACGAGUCGGAACGGGAUGCUGGCUUUCUCUUUGGAUUUUGGGUUAGCAGUCAUGUUCUGUGGCCCUGACUUGAGUUCCUCAGAGCGGUGUGUUCCUUUUAGUUGAAGACAUUGAGGCGUUUGUCUGAGAAGG
ensembl:snoRNA SNORD15 Small nucleolar RNA SNORD15